AAAGGAAUUGACGGGCACCCGCACAAGCGGUGGAGCAUGCUGUUUAAUUCGAAGAUACGCGAAGAACCUUACCUAGACUUGACAUCCCCGGCAAAGCUAUAGAAAUAUAGUGGAGGUUAUCCGGGUGACAGGUGGUGCAUGGUUGUCGUCAGCUCGUGUCGUGAGAUGUUCGGUUAAGUCCGAUAACGAGCGCAACCCUUAUCUUUAGUUGCUAACAUUUAGUUGAGAACUCUAAAGAGACUGCCGGUGAUAAACCGGAGGAAGGUGGGGAUGACGUCAAAUCAUCAUGCCCCUUACGUCUAGGGCUACAGGCGUGCUACAAUGGCUGGUACAAAAAGAUGCAAGACCGCGAGGUGGAGCCAAUCUCAAAAACCAGCCCCAGUUCGGAUUGGAGUCUGCAACUCGACUCCAUGAAGUUGGAAUCGCUAGUAAUCCUGAAUCAGAAUGUCAGGGUGAAUACGUUCCCGGGUGUUGUACACACCGCCCGU
rnacentral:rRNA from 1 species